GACGAACGCUGGCGGCGUGCUUAACACAUGCAAGUCGAACGGAAAGGCCCUGCUUUUGUGGGGUGCUCGAGUGGCGAACGGGUGAGUAACAGGUGAGUAACCUGCCCUUGACUUUCGGAUAACUUCAGGAAACUGGGGCUAAUACCGUAUAGGAUCCCCUGCUGCAUGGUGGGCGUUGGAACGUUUCGGCGUGUGGGGAUGGACUCGCGGCUUAUCAGCUUGUUGGUUGGGUAGUGGCUUACCAAGGCUUUGACGGGUAGCCGGCAUGUGAGGGGGACCAGGGACAAGAGGACUGAGAUACGGACCAGACGGCUACGGGAGGCAGCAGGGGGGAGUAUGGCACAAUGAGCGGAAGCGUGAUGAAGAAACGCCGCGGGCGGGAUGACGGCCUGCGGGGUGAGAACAGCUUUAGCCUGUGACGAAGCGUGAGUGACGGUAAUGGGUAAAGAAGCACCGGCUAACUACGUG
rnacentral:rRNA from 1 species